rnacentral:tRNA from 1 species
GAAGAGGAAGGGAACGUUCAUUUUGCGCUCUUGCAGUAAACGCCAAUAACGCCUCAGAAUAGGCUUAAAUCGACUCGAAAUCGAGUUAGCACAGAGAUGUGCUACGUGGGUUCGAAUCCCACCCUCUCCGCCA